rnacentral:rRNA from 1 species
UCAGGCCUACGGGAGGCAGCAGUGGGGAAUAUUGCGCAAUGGGCGAAAGCCUGACGCAGCGACGCCGCGUGAGGGAUGAAGGUCUUCGGAUCGUAAACCUCUGUCAGCAGGGAAGAACGGUCACUGUGCUAAUCAGCAGUGAAUUGACGGUACCUGCAAAGGAAGCACCGGCUAACUCCGUGCCAGCAGCCGCGGUAAUACGGAGGGUGCGAGCGUUGAUCGGAAUUACUGGGCGUAAAGAGCUCGGAGGCGGGAUGUCAAGUCAAGGGGGAAAUCCCCGCGCUCAACGUGGGAACUGCCUUUGA